UUCAUGCAUAGAACCAGACAUGCUCUACACCUAAUGCCAAAAAAAGCCUGCAAAGUUCUCCUCUGCUACAAAGCAACACAAAAAGCCCUCCUAGUCCAUCACCUGUUGCUCAAGGCAUGUAAGAGUAGAAACACAGUGAGCCCCUAGAGCCCACACUGAGAAGCUGAGCACUGAGAAGGGACCAGGAUGUGAGGAACCACAUUAGUGGUCUUUGGCAACUAUUUCUGCUGAGCAAAAGCCAGAAGGCUUGUUCCAGCUGGACCUUCCUUCGUUCUAGAAAGCAGCAAACAAGGAAAAGCACUACUUUAAUUACAUUUAGAAGUUUCUCCUAGGAGAGAGAGGAGAGGCUUUACAAGGACUACCUCAAGAAGAGGACAUAGAAUGGAGGGAAGGCCUUAGAAAGAAUAAACAACCCUCAUGCUGCUGCUUUUGGAAGGAAUAAAUGUCCAAGUUACUUAAUAUCCAGACACAAAUCUGUGGAGUCUUGACAGCCAAGAAGCACAGGAACCUGGACACCUUGUUGUGAGAGACUAGAGGAGAUUGCUGGCUCAACACUUUUCAGGGGCUUGUAUGUGGGGAA